AGGAGAUGGGAAGUUUAUUCCUCGAAAACCAUUUGCUGAAUAUAUUUACAAACGAAUAAAGCAGCGAGACCGGGUAAAAAAAUCAGAGGAAAGGAGGCUGCCAUUCCCUUCACAGCCAAACAUUGUCAACCCAUGGAGAAGCAGGCCUUAUUCAACUCCCUAGGAUCCUUUAGAAAAAAUUCACCACUAUAGGCUUCUUUGAUUUUCUUUCAGAAGCAAUUGCUGUCUUUCUCACUGUGUUUUUGUUGCUGCAUAAGAUUGAAGGUAUAAAUUUAUAUUAUUGUGAUGGAAAGGCUGUGUGGAAAUUCAUUGAUGAUACUUUAAAAUGUCAUCUUUGCUUGUACUAGAUUUCUUACUUAGAAUUUUUAAAAAUCAUUUUCUUGUUUAAAUAGUUUCUUUUUUUAAAAAAAUGGUUACAUUAGUUUU
rnacentral:lncRNA from 1 species